AAUUAGAUUUUAUACAGAUAAAUUUACCAUUAUAUUUAGAAGGUAGCUAGAUUCAUUUACUUAUAUCAAAAUAAAUAAUAAAACUAAAAAAAUUAAUUUCAACAACAUCAACUUACAUCAAAACAAACAGAAAAAGUAAUUGAAUUCAAUUUCAGACUGUAUGAGCUACAUCUAAAUAAAUAAAAAAAAACUACACUUCAAAAAACCUCAAACACUAAUGCACUUCAGUUAUGUUCAAUCUAGCGAUUCGUCAAUCCAAACACUCUCUUUUCCUGUUUG
rnacentral:lncRNA from 1 species